GGACGGGGCCCGCACAAGCGGCGGAGCAUGUGGAUUAAUUCGAUGCAACGCGAAGAACCUUACCUGGUCUUGACAUCCCGGAGACCCUUAGGAAACUAGGGGGUGCUUCCAUCUGGAAGAAUCUGGAGACAGGUGCUGCAUGGCUGUCGUCAGCUCGUGUCGUGAGAUGUUGGGUUAAGUCCCGCAACGAGCGCAACCCUUGCCUUUAGUUGCCAGCAGUUCGGCUGGGCACUCUAAAGGGACUGCCGGUGUUAAACCGGAGGAAGGUGGGGAUGACGUCAAGUCCUCAUGGCCUUUAUGACCAGGGCUACACACGUACUACAAUGGCCGAUACAAAGGGCAGCGACACUGCGAGGUGAAGCCAAUCCCGUAAAAUCGGUCUCAGUCCGGAUUGGAGUCUGCAACUCGACUCCAUGAAGUUGGAAUCGCUAGUAAUCGUGGAUCAGCAUGCCACGGUGAAUACGUUCCCGGGCCUU
rnacentral:rRNA from 1 species